GACGAACGCUGGCGGCGUGCUUAACACAUGCAAGUCGAACGGAAAGGCCCUGCUUUUGUGGGGUGCUCGAGUGGCGAACGGGUGAGUAACACGUGAGUAACCUGCCCUUGACUUUGGGAUAACUUCAGGAAACUGGGGCUAAUACCGGAUAGGAGCUCCUGCUGCAUGGUGGGGGUUGGAAAGUUUCGGCGGUUGGGGAUGGAAUCGCCGCUUAUCAGCUUGUUGGUGGGGUAGUGGCUUACCAAGGCUUUGACGGGUAGCCGGCCUGAGAGGGUGACCGGCCACAUUGGGACUGAGAUACGGCCCAGACUCCAACGGGAGGCAGCAGUGGAGUAUAUUGCACAAUAGGAGGAAGCCUGAUGUAGCAACGCAGCGUGCGGGAAGAGGGCCUUCGGGUUGUAAACCGCUUCCGCCUGUGACGAAGCGUGAGUGACGGUAAUGGGUAAAGAAGCACCGGCUAACUACGUG
rnacentral:rRNA from 1 species